rnacentral:rRNA from 1 species
UACAGAGACUGCAAGCGUUAUUCGGAUUCACUGGGCGUAAAGGGUGCGCAGGCGGCCAAGUGUGUUAGGCGUGAAAGCCCGGGGCUCAACCCCGGGAGGCGGGUGGAUACUGUCAAGCUCGAGUCCGGAAGAGGAGUGUGGAAUUCCUGGUGUAGCGGUGAAAUGCGCAGAUAUCGUAAGGAAGACCAGUGGCGAAGGCGGGUCUCUGGACAGUUCCUGACGCUGAGGCACGAAGGCCAGGGGAGCAAACGGG